rnacentral:rRNA from 1 species
AUUGAACGCUGGCGGCAGGCCUAACACAUGCAAGUCGAGCGAGCGGCGGACGGGUGAGUAAUGUCUGGGAAACUGCCUGAUGGAGGGGGUUAACUACUGGAAACGGUAGCUAAUACCGCAUACCAUCAGAUGUGCCCAGGUGGGAUUAGCUAGUGGGUGGGGUAACGGCUCACCUAGGCGACGAUCCCUAGCUGGUCUGAGAGGAUGACCAGCCACACUGGAACUGAGACACGGUCCAUCCUCCUACGGGAGGCAGCAGUGGGGAAUAUGGCACAAUGGGCGCAAGCCUUAUGCAGCCAUGCGGCGUGUUUGAAGAAGGCCUUCGAGUUGUAAAGUACUUUCAGCUGGGAGGCGUUACCCACAGAAGAAGCACCGGCUAACUCCGUGCCAGCAGCCGCGGUAAUAC